CACGUAGGGCGCAAGCGUUGUCCGGAAUUAUUGGGCGUAAAGAGCUCGUAGGCGGUCUGUUGCGUCCGCUGUGAAAACCCGGGGCUUAACCCCUGGCUUGCAGUGGAUACGGACAGACUAGAGGUAGGUAGGGGAGAAUGGAAUUCCCGGUGUAGCGGUGAAAUGCGCAGAUAUCGGGAGGAACACCGGUGGCGAAGGCGGUUCUCUGGGCCUUACCUGACGCUGAGGAGCGAAAGCGUGGGGAUCAAACAGG
rnacentral:rRNA from 1 species